rnacentral:rRNA from 1 species
GGAUGCCCUCCGUCGUCACCCCUUAGAACCUGUUACCCCCGUUGGGACUAGGUCGUUACGGCGCACACCCUACUUCCGGAAGCCCAACAUUUGGUGAAAACCGCCCCCGCUUUAUAGCUCACGAUUAUGGUAAGCCACUACUGCCAUGGGCGUCUUAUUCGUGGCCGAUUGAUGCACGGUCGUCGGCGCCAUUA